AUAAUAAUAAGUUAAGAUAAACUAAUUGGUUCAUUCCCAAAAAAUGAAAAAAAAAUUUCUUAUUAAA
rnacentral:tRNA from 1 species